AUUGAACACUGGCGGCAUACCUAACACAUGAAAGUCGAACGAGUGUCUGACGGUUGAGUAAUGUCUGGGAAACUGCCUGAUGGCGGGGGAUAACUACUGGACACGGUAGCUACUACCGCAUACCCUCAGAUGUGCCCAGAUGGGAGUUGCUAGGUGGUGGGGUAACGGCUCACCAAGGCGACGAUCCCUAGCUGGUCUGAGAGGAUGACAAGCCACACGUGAACUGAGAAACGGUCCAGACUCCUACGGGAGGCAGCAGUGGGGAAUAUGGCACAAUGGGAGCAAGCCUGAUGCAGCCAUGCCGCGUGUAUGAAGAAGGCCUUCGGGUUGUAAAGUACUUGCAGCGGGGAGGCGUUACCCGCAGAAGAAGCAACGGCUAACUCCGUGCCAGCAGCCGCGGUAAUAC
rnacentral:rRNA from 1 species